UUGGCAGCUAACCCCAUAAUUUUCAUCCCUGUGUAACAACAGCUGAAUUCCACUCUCUCUCUUUAUCUCUCAAAAGUAUUUAAGAAAAAAAAAUGACCUUACUCAUUUCUCUUCAUUGUCUUCCUCAAUAUUGAAAAAUCAUGUCUCUGAUGCCACUUAUGGUGCGGUCACUGGCAAGGUUUUGCAUAUCACUAGCAUUACACCCAGCUGCCUCUCUGACAACCUUAUUGUAUUACAGUAAUCUUCUUCCAAGAAACUUGAACUUGGAGAGAUUGGUUCGACAAGACUUGCUUCAUCAUGAAAACCAUUUGUUUAAUUUCCUCAUCAGUGUCUUGAGAUGUUUCUGAGAGCGAUUGCAUACUGCGUUACUCGAGGGCGUAUCUUUGUCCGGUCUGAGGAAAUCUUUGCAUGCCUUCGUUACCUUUUAGGAGGCCUGCGCCCUUUUGCAAUAAAUUCAUGGAUGGGUUAACAAGUUUUACGUAUCUGUGAUAAGAAACAAGGAUUUUUGUGAAGAGAAAGUUAUGUAAUUAUAAAUUUGAAUAAAUCACUAAUUACCCA